rnacentral:rRNA from 2 species
GGGGGGGGUAAUAGUUAGGUGGCAAGCGUUAUCGGGGAAUUAUUGGGCGUAAAGCGCGCGCAGGUUGUUUCUUAAGUCUGAUGUGAAAGCCCACGGCUCAACCGUGGAGGGUCAUUGGAAACUGGGAGACUUGAGUGCAGAAGAGGAAAGUGGAAUUCCAUGUGUAGCGGUGAAAUGCGUAGAGAUAUGGAGGAACACCAGUGGCGAAGGCGACUUUCUGGUCUGUAACUGACACUGAGGCGCGAAAGCGUGGGGAGCAAACAGGAUUAGAUACCCUGGUAGUCCACGCCGUAAACGAUGAGUGCUAAGUGUUAGAGGGUUUCCGCCCUUUAGUGCUGAAGUUAACGCAUUAAGCA